rnacentral:rRNA from 1 species
GAAGGGACCUAGCGUAGUUCGGAAUUACUGGGCUUAAAGAGCUCGUAGGUGGUUAGAAAAGUUGGUGGUGAAAUCCCAAGGCUUAACCUUGGAACUGCCAUCAAAACUUUUUGACUAGAGUAUGAUAGAGGAAAGUGGAAUUUCUAGUGUAGAGGUGAAAUUCGUAGAUAUUAGAAAGAACACCAAUUGCGAAGGCAACUUUCUGGAUCAUUACUGACACUGAGGAGCGAAAGCAUGGGUAGCGAAGAGGAUUAGAUACCCUCGUAGUCCAUGCCGUAAACGAUGUGUGCUAGACGUUGGAAAUUUAGUUUUCAGUGUCGCAGCGAAAGCGUUAAGCACACCGCCUGGGGAGUACGACCGCAAGGUUAAAACUCAAAUGAAUUGACGGGGACCCGCACAAGUAGUGGAGCAUGUGGUUUAAUUCGAAGAUACGCGCAGAACCUUACCAACACUUGACAUGUUCGUCGCGACUCUAAGAGAUUAGAGUUUUCGGUUCGGCCGGACGAAACACAGGUGCUGCAUGGCUGUCGUCAGCUCGUGUCGUGAGAUGUUGGGUUAAGUCCCGCAACGAGCGCAACCCUUACUUUUAGUUGCUACCAUUUAGUUGGGCACUCUAAAAGAACUGCCGGUGAUAAGCUGGAGGAAGGUGGGGAUGACGUCAAGUCCUCAUGGCCCUUAUGUGUUGGGCUACACACGUGCUACAAUGGUACUCACAGUGAGAAGCGAAGAGGCGACUCUAAGCUAAUCCCUAAAAAGUAUCUCAGUUCGGAUUGUACUCUGCAACUCGAGUACAUGAAGCUGGAAUUACUAGUAAUCGCGGAUCAGCGCGCCGCGGUGAAUACGUUCCCGGGUCUU